CGCGUAGGCGGUGGUAUAAGUCUGAGGUGGAAUCCUACAGCUUAACUAUAGGACUGCCUUGGAAACUGUAUUACUUGAGUCGGACAGGGGAAGGCGGAAUUCCUGGUGUAGCGGUGAAAUGCGUAGAUAUCAGGAGGAAGGCCUGUGGUGAAGACGGCCUUCUGGGUCUUGACUGACGCUGAGGCGCGAAAGCGUGGGUAGCAAACAGGAUUAGAUACCCUGGUAGUCCACGCCCUAAACGGUGGGCACUAGGUGUGGGAUCUGUAAGGGCUCCGUGCCGAAGGGAAACCAUUAAGUGCCCCGCCUGGGAAGUACGGCCGCAGGGUUGAA
rnacentral:rRNA from 1 species